CGGGUAGCGGAACACGUACGCAACCUUCCUUUAACUGGAGAAUAGCCCCUCGAAAGAGGGAUUAAUACUCCGUAACAUAUUGAAGUGGCAUCACUUUAAUAUUAUAGCUCCGGCGGUUAAAGAUGGGCGUGCGCCUGAUUAGAUAGUUGGCGGGGUAACGGCCCACCAAGUCUGCGAUCAGUAACUGGUGUGAGAGCACGACCAGUCACACGGGCACUGAGACACGGGCCCG
rnacentral:rRNA from 1 species